GAUCAUGGCUCAGGAUGAACGCUAGCUACAGGCUUAACACAUGCAAGUCGAGGGGCAGCAUUUCAGUUUGCUUGCAAACUGAAGAUGGCGGCCGGCGCACGGGUGAGUAACACGUAUCCAACCUGCCGAUAACUCCGGGAUAGCCUUUCGAAAGAAAGAUUAAUACCGGAUGGCAUAUGAUUAUCGCAUGAUAAUCCUAUUAAAGAAUUUCGGUUAUCGAUGGGGAUGCGUU
rnacentral:rRNA from 1 species